rnacentral:rRNA from 1 species
GGGCAUUGCCCUAGUAACGGCGAGUGAAGCGGCAACAGCUCAAAUUUGAAAUCUGGCCCUCGGGUCCGAGUUGUAAUUUGUAGAGGAUGCUUUUGGUGAGGUACCUUCCGAGUUCCCUGGAACGGGACGCCAUAGAGGGUGAGGAGCCCCGUCUGGUUGGAUACCGAUCCUCUGUAAAGCUCCUUCGACGAGUCGAGUAGUUUGGGAAUGCUGCUCUAAAUGGGAGGUAUAUGUCUUCUAAAGCUAAAUAUUGGCCAGAGACCGAUAGCGCACAAGUAGAGUGAUCGAAAGAUGAAAAGCACUUUGAAAAGAGAGUUAAAAAGUACGUGAAAUUGUUGAAAGGGAAGCGCUCAUGACCAGACUUGGGCUUGGUUGAUCAUCCAGGGUUCUCCCUGGUGCACUCUUCCAGCUCAGGCCAGCAUCAGUUCGCCGCGGGGGAUAAAGGCUUUGGGAAUGUGGCUCCUCCGGGAGUGUUAUAGCCCACUGCGUAAUACCCUGUAGUGGACUGAGGUUCGCGCAUCUGCAAGGAUGCUGGCGUAAUGGUCAUCAGCGACCCGUCUUGAAACACGGACCAAGGAGUCGUCUUCGUAUGCGAGUGUUCGGGUGUUAAACCCCUACGCGUAAUGAAAGUGAACGCAGGUGAGAGCUUCGGCGCAUCAUCGACCGAUCCUGAUGUUCUCGGAUGGAUUUUGAGUAAGAGCAUACGGGGCCGGACCCGAAAGAAGGUGAACUAUGCCUGUAUAGGGUGAAGCCAGAGGAAACUCUGGUGGAGGCUCGCAGCGGUUCUGACGUGCAAAUCGAUCGUCAAAUAUGGGCAUGGGGGCGAAAGACU